AAUUGCUGUAACCGUACAACACAGUGCAUCUUAUAUUAAUGAGGGGAAAAUCCUUUCUUUCUUUCGACACGCCUACACACCAAAUGCUCCUCGACGACCAAGUUUGCGAUUACACUGACUCGCGAUCCACCUUCAAUGCAGCACAUAGUAUAAAAACGAGUAAAAGCUGCUGGGAUCCCACCAUGUGCUGUACAUCUAUAUUCUAUAGAACGGCAGAGAAGGACACAAGAAAAGCGAAGGGUAAUAAAAAGAAGAGGGACAUUUAAACCACCGACGCCUCAAACGCAUCACGUCUUCGACCCAAGAACAAACCGCUGUGAAACAAACAGUUCCAUGGCCCGUAUUUUAGCUUUGCUGUCGCUGAACUGGACAUCAGCAAAGCUGAACGUGUGCAGUAAUGCAACAUGUAUAACUACGGGAAGUUCCAUCAAAGCUUCCUACUUAGAUAUCCACAUCAGGAUCCGCUGCCGCGCUAUAGUGUGUUACUUGAAAAUGACGGCUAGCGCGCCUACAUUUCUGACGUGCCUUGGUAUUGUAACUUAUUCGACCAUUUGCACAUGAAAUAUUUAGCAGUUGUAGCCAGCUGAUAUAUAGCUUUGCCCUUCAACUUAUGUGCACCUCUUAAAGCCCUUGUGUUUGCUUCCUUGCGUAGAUUUAUUCACAUGAUAUGAUCUCCUUUUCUUUCGCUGGAUUCAUCUACGAAGUAAAAUACGACGAAAUAGAGAUGA